GAAGAAGAAGAAGAAGAAAAGAUAAGAAAGCAAAUAAAAACAGAAGCACACCAACAACAAAUAACUUACAUCCCAAGAUGAAAGACCAUUAAAAUGUGCAUGAAACAUACAGCCUCAGCUAUUAGCAACUGAAAUCUAAUAAUAAUAACAACACAUAGUACUUUACAGUAAAUGCCAAAUAACCAGUUGUAUUUUUCCAUCCACUUGCCUUUCAAUAUAACUUGUGAGAUGAGAUUUUAUGGUAAUCUGUAUAAAUGAUAAAAUAAAACACAACUUCUUUUUGAAGACAUUGAAAGAAAUAAAAGAGGAACUACGGGCACUAGCCAACCAACUAACACAAACUAACUGAAAAAACAAUUAAGGAUGGCAAAACAGAGCAUAAAAAUAAAAGAGCGCACUUACCUGACCAAUAAAACAGCAAUGCAUAUGGUGAGGGCACAAGUAGAAUGAUAACAUAUAAGCAAAUGUAAAAGAAGAAGAAGAAGAAGAAG
rnacentral:misc_RNA from 1 species